GGAGGUAGUGACAAUAAAUCACAAUGCGGAACAAUGUUUUGCAAUUGGAUUGAGAACAACGUACAAACCUUAUCGAUAAACAAUUGGAGGGCAAGUCUGGUGCCAGCAGCCGCGGUAAUUCCAGCUCCAAUAGCGUAUAUUAACGUUGUUGCAGUUAAAAAGCUCGUAGUUGAAAUGAAGGGUAGUUGUGUAAUGAAUACAUUCGUGUAUUUUGUUAUUCUACUACCCUCCUUCUAAAUUCGAUAUAUGAGUAUUAAUUUACUUGUAUAUGGUUUUAGACGUUUACUGUGAGAAAAUUAGAGUGUUCAAAGCAGGCAUUUGCUUGAAUAUAUUAGCAUGGAAUAAUCAUGUAUGAUUUUCAUGAUGUAUUUGAUUGGUUUGGUUCAUGAGAAUAAGAUUAAAAGGGACAGUUGGGGGUAUUCAUAUUCAAUAGUCAG
rnacentral:rRNA from 1 species